GACGAACGCUGGCGGCGUGCCUAACACAUGCAAGUCGAACGGAAAGGCCCUGCUUUUGUGGGGUGCUCGAGUGGCGAACGGGUGAGUAACACGUGAGUAACCCGCCCUUGACUUUGGGAUAACUUCAGGAAACUGGGGCUAAUACACGAUAGGAGCUCCUGCUGCAUGGUGGGGGAUGGAAAGCUUCGGCGGUUGGGGAUGGACUCGCGGCUUACCAGCUUGUUAGUGGGGUAGUGGCUGACCAAGGCUUUGACGGGUAGCCGGCCUGGGAGGGUGGCCAGCGACAUUGGGCCUACGGUACGGCGCAGUCGCCUACGGGAGGCAGCGGUCGAAAGUCUUACACAGUAAGGGGGAGCCUGAUGCGGCGGCGCCGCGUGCGGGAUGACGGGCUUCGGGUUGUGAACCGCUUUCGCCUGUGACGAAGCGUGAGUGACGGUAAUGGGUAAGAAAGCACCGGCUAACUACGUG
rnacentral:rRNA from 1 species